rnacentral:miRNA from 1 species
UGUUUUCUCAAAGACUGAUCCU